UAUUGUGUCUACUGCUGUCAUAUGUCAAUUCCUACUGGUUUUAAAUUGUUGUAGCCUCCUAUAUACUGUAUGUAACUUCUGUACUGUGCUAUCUGCUGCAUUCACUGUCUCCUAUAUACUGCAUGUAGCUUAGAAGGAUGAGAACUUCCAUCAUCAGGGAGCUUCUGUCAUUUCACUUUCACAAUACCCCUUCUGCUGGGCCCCCUGCAGAGACUCAAACAGCCCCCCCCCCCUUCCUCCUCCUCGUUCCAGCAGAGAAGGAUAGGCUGCCUGAGAAGAGAGAUUGGGAAGUGUAAAGCAGAAGUCUUCAUGGAGAAGAAGUAUGAUGAGGUUUACAAUCUACUUCGGAGUGGUUCACAGCGACAGAAUCUAAGACGUCAUGCUUCAAAAUUUCACCUCAUAGAGCAGAUAUUGACCCUCAUCUAAAUUCCUAGUGGGGAACUGAAUAGAUCACAUCCUUUAUGGCAUUACUCCAUUGGCUAACACCUAGAGGUAAUUAUGACAGAUACUCCUCUGAUGGACAUACAUAGGUAACUAUAACAUCUAUAGGUAAACGAGUCCUUUGCUCAUCAACCAGAGAUAACUAUGACACAGACUGCCCUUAUGGACCUCCACAGGUAAAUAUGACAGCACGCAAGCUUUACCCUCCCAAAUCACAGCACCAGCGUCUCCCCGCUACCCUAGUAGUCAGCUGACAGCAGAAUCGUAUCCCGGCGCAUGCGCCUUUGCACACAGUGGCCGGCAACAGCUGAUCACUUCAGCGGCCACACGAACGCAGCGCACGCAUGCGCAAUCAUAUCUAGCAAGCUCCGGGCGCCAUCUUUGUUUUACCCGGAAAUACGUCAGCCAAGACCCGCCCCUUUAACCACGCUGCGCGGCCGGAUCCCACAUAAGGGGAACGGAGACACAACUGGCAGCAUGGCAAUCCGGAACACAGGACUCAGCCUCCCGGACUGCAUGCCAGAUAGGGACACAGAGCCCAUACAAACAGCAGCAUCCCUGCUGACCGCCGAGGAAACUUUCUCUCUCAAGCUUUUUUUGGACUUGUUGCAGCCACAAUCCGGGUAAGAAAUGACAAUGAGAAUUAGCAGUUGCUUUAAUACCCUUCUACAUGGAACUUAUAGUGUGUUAUUAGCCUGUCCGAAUUUGUUGUGCAAUCCACACUUAAUCUGUCUGAAUAUGUCUUAAUAUGUAGUGAUAUCCUUACCCUAACGGAUUCUGCAUUUAGCUAGACUGUCUAACCCUCCUUUUGAUGGAGUGAUCUUUGUUCCACAGUAUAUGAAAGAUAUGAAAGAUAAGAUCUGUCAAUAUUUAUUAUGCUUAAUUUUGAUUCCUAAUAUACGGUCCAUAGAAUACAGUUUAGCAUAUUCUCUGUCCAACUCUGCAAUUGUGUUCCUUAACCCCACCCACUACUACCUGUUACUUGACUUCAUACCGGUAAAGCAUCACAACGCCUCACCACAGAAAAAACGCACCACCUCAAACUACCAGCUGACCAAAGACCACUCCGAUGAAGAUCCUUCAGGAUCCCCAGAUGACAGCCAAUGCUCUCUCUACGUGCCAUAUCGACACGUCCUCCCUUUGUAUAGAAUAUAUUCGAUAUACUAUUUGUAAUUUGUCUACAAGUGCGACAUUAUAUGUACUAUAUAAUUGAUGCUAUACCUAUUGUGAAUAUUAUAUAUUUAUUUUUGACACUUUGUAUGCUUCUCCAGUUACACUGAAGAAGGCUUCUUAGCCAAAAACUUUCUUGACUGGAACCGCACUAAAUAAAAGCU